UGAGCCUAAAUCAACAUGUUAAAAGAGGCCAUCUGGACUAUAGGGACAUUUCUCGAAACAGAUCCACAGUCCAUUUUGACCAAGAGGGAAGAUGUUCUGUUAGUUUUCUUGGAAAAUUCGCAUGAAAGCGAGAGUACCGACAUUGAUAAUGACAAUUUAAACCUAAAUCUCAUCUUUGUCGCCAGAUUAGGUCUUGUUUUACCACAAAUAUACUCGUUGUAUCGGCUAAAUCGACGACUUUUCAGAAUUUAAGAUCAAGGUAUGCUGAAUCCAAAUAAUUUUGAUUUAUUUACCUGAUUAUAAAAAUGAUUCUCAUCACGCGUCUCUCUGUAACUUCCGCCAACCUUCGUCGUCUUCCCCAAAUCAACAUCAAUAUGUGGUCAGCGGGGAAGAGGUGAGAAGACAAAAAAAGGCGACUCAAUCUGCCAUCGAAGCAGGUAAAGGGAUUCAUGAAUUUAGAAGGUAAGGGUAUUAUUGUCAAUUUAGUUAUUUUUUUUCAAUUUUAUUGAUUUUAUGUUGUAAAAAAUGAUUAUUAAACAAUAAAAACUAUUUAAAAAUAAGAUUUGGACAAAUCCGAUAUUUUAAAACGUUAAGAAUGGCAAAUAUGAUAUUUAAAGUUUAGGUCGGACAAAUACGAUAUUUAGACGUUUAAUAAGGGUAUAUAUGAAAUUUUCCCUUUAUUGUGUAACUAGGAUAUCAACUAUGGAGUGUUGUGGCGACAAUAAUGGAUUUGAUAAGUAUUAAAAUGUAAGUUGGUACAUGUCACAUAGAAACUUAGGAGGCAUGAAGUUGGUAAACAGGAGCCAAAGUCAUCUCAAACAAAAAUAUUGAAUACAAAGUUAGGAGGCAAAUCCAUAAAAGUCAUGGGCAAAUCCAUCCAAGCAAAAAUAAUGAAAAAAAAACUUAUUAUAUAUGACACAUAUAUAAAAAUAAAGUAGGAUUAUCCUUUUAAGUUAACAAAUGAAAGUUCAAAUAAUCAAAAACGUAUUUAUAUGUGACCCAACUCUUACAUAGAAAGCGUAUAUAAAGAUUAACACAAAAAAAGGAGGCAAACUCGAUUUUAUAGCGACACCUAGAUAAUAAAAGCAACUUAAAAAAAAAUUAGUGAACGAAAGUUCUAAAUUUACGUUGAAACGUUGAUUACUUCCAAUUUAUGCCACAUAUAUAAAUAUAAGCAUGUAGGAAAAUAUAUAUUUAAAGUUAACGAACGAAAAUUAUUAAGGAGUAUCAUAUUAUAAAUAUUACCGGGGGUAAACACGAAAGUUUAGCAAGACGAGUGAUCAAAUUGACAUUUUAGAAAGCUCAAAGACGAUGUAGUCAACAUGACAUUUACAAAAUUAAGGUAAACACGAAAAUUUUGAAAGUCGACGAGAUCAAUAUGAUAUUGAGAAAUUAAAUAGUCUCCUACUUUUUGUUCCUACUAUCCUCCUACUUAUUUUAGAUGGUGACAAGUGUCAUUAAAUUUAAUUUAAAUUUGAUUGAGAUGUUAAAUUUCUACGUCAUCAUCUUAAAUAGGUAGGAAGAAAAAUAAAAACAAAAGGUAGGAGAAUAUUUAAUUUUUCUAUGAUAUUUUAUAAAGUUCAAAACUGAGAAGAUCAAAGUCACAUUUUACAAAAUUGAAUUGUGGAAAAUGUCAUUUUACAAAGUAGUAGAACUUGGGUCGACAAACAAUAAAAUUUAAGAUCCAAAGAUACUAACUAGCAAAGUCCACUGACUUUGCUAUUUAGUAUAUAGAUAAUGAUAAGUGAUGCAUACACAACAUUUUUUCUCCAUACACAACAAUUUAUGUUUAUAGAGUUGUAGAAUACAAUAUUUUUAAGCACAAGUUGUUGCGUACAAAUAUAAAAUAUUGUGUACGAUUUAGCUCUUAUCGAUAAUAGUGUUUCAAUAUUUGUACUUUAUUAAUUUAUUCAAUAAUUUUUUUUACCAAAUUUAUACGACCACUUGUCCACCUUCUAAACUAAAUGUAUGUUUUGACAAAAUUAGUUUUUAGCUCGAAGCUAAAAGUUUAAAGCCAGUAGCAUGUAUCUUUCAUUUCUUGUAUGAAUUUUUGAGAUAAUGAUAAGUGAUUGAUAAACAAUAUUUUUUCUCAGUACACAAUAAAUUAUGUUUAUAGAGUUGUACAAUAUAAUAUUUUUAAGCACAAGUUGUGUACAAAUAAAAAAUAUUGUGUACGAUUCGACUCUCAUCGAUAAUGGCGUUUCAAUAUUUGUUUUUUUUUUAUUAAUUUACUCAACAAUUUUUUUACCAAAUUUAUACGACCACUUGUCCACCUUCUAAACUAAAUGUAUGUUUUUACAUAUUUAGUUUUUAGCUCAGUUUUUAGCUCAAAACUGUCACACCCCCAAACCGAAUUGGCGGAAAAAUUCGGGGGUGGAGGACGUCAUGUGCAGUAUCAUAACAAUGCAUAAUAGUAAAAACAAGCAACAAAAUCCAUUGCAUUAAUAGAAUAGUUAAAUACAUGUGUGUUCUUUUGUAAGGUUUAAAUGACACCAAAAUGUACAAUCAAAAGACGAGUCUUGGAUCCACUCCGUCCUUCAAAAGCUGCAUGGGUGUACCUGUCUUACUGGUUCCCUAAGAAUACAAGUUAUUUUGAAAGAGAGGAUCAACAUAAAAUGUUGGUGAGUUCAUAAGUAUUUAGUGUCACUUAGUAGUUAAAAACCUCGAAAUGUUUGUAUUUGAAACCUUGAAAAGUUUGUAAAUUUUUCCCGAAAAAUCCUAUAUUUCCUGCUUAUAAAUAAUGUAGCCUUCUACCCGAGGCUCGACUGUUUUACA